rnacentral:lncRNA from 1 species
UAUUUUUUUUCAAAUUACAUUCAAGUGGGUUUUGUUUCAAACUUUAACCCAUUUGAAUCUUUCCAAAUACUAGUACCAUAUUUGAACUCUCCUACUCCUCAGCUUUUCAAAAUGGUAUUUGAAAUUUGAAUCCAAAAGCAUUUGCAAAAGAGAAAACAGGAAAAAGGAAAAAGAAAUAAAAGAAAAGCCUUACCUUACCUCAGGCCCGAGUCGACCCAACAGCCGCCUCGGCCCAGCCUCGC